rnacentral:lncRNA from 1 species
CUACCUCCCCAACGAAAAUCAAAAUUUCUUUCCAGUUAGUCCAGAACAAAAAAUAACCAUCAUCCUCAUCAGUCUCUGUCGUAAUCAUAGGCCAAUAGCAUAUAAUUAUAUUAAAUUAAAUUAAUUAAAUAAAGUGAUUAAAUUAAUUAAAUAAAGUGGGAGGUUUUACCGUUUCCUCCGCCCGCCGGCGCAAUUUGAGAGGACAAAACUCAUAAUACAAAUACAGUGAAGGCAACAAUAUGAACAAGCAAAGCAGGUAUCUUUUGAAUAAUAUAUGACCAAAAGGGUCUCUCAAUUAAAUUAUGAAAAUUAAUUCAGAUUACAACUUGCAAAUUAAAUUUAAAUUUAAUUAACAUUACAACUUGCAAAUUAAAGUUUAAACUAUGCGAUUCAAUGUCCACAGUUUGGCUUUAGGUGGAGGUGGGUCCCAAAACGCUGACAUGAAAUUCAAGGCGACGGGCCCCUUUUCCUUCGGCUGGGGCCCGAUUCCUGGUUUCCUCCAUUUUCGUGUUGAAUGAAAUAAUGAACACUGUUUGGUCGUUUUCUAAGGAAAUAUCUAACAUGUUCGGAACUAAUCAAAAUUAAAUAAUGAUAUAUCGGUCACAUAAUAAGCACAUAACAAUCAAAUAUCGAUAAUCAACAGUUGUAAUUAAAAAAAUAAUCAGUUUGACCAAUUAAAAUUAAUAGACAAUACAUGUAGUUAUUCUUCUCCGUCAAACAUGACAUGAUAUAAUUUUGUCGUAUUAUUACCGGAAUUGUUCAUUCUUUUUAUCAUCAUCUAACAAUCAUCUCUACAAAAAUUCAUUCAUUUGGACACUAUUUAUAUAUGCCAAACCAACCAGCAGUCAUGAUACAAGUAACAUCUUUAUUAUGAACCAUCAAUUUGUGUGAUUCAUAUGAAUGACUAAAGGGUUUCUAAAUCAAAUAAUUUUUUUGAAGGAAAACUAAUGAAAAUGGCUUGAAAACUUUGAGUUUUAAUCAAAAUGACAAAAAGGUGUUGUAAGUGAAUAGUACCAAGAGUGACUUUUUAGAGUAAAAAUGUCAUUUUCGUUAAAAGUGAACAAUACCGAGAGUGUUUCAUUAAAACUCUUGUUUUUUUAAAGAUGUUCAUUUGAAAGAAAAAUAACUCUUUACAUGUAAGGAGUCAAACAAUCUUAUAUAUAGUAAUUGUUUAUAGUCAUUCUUUCUUAAGUGCAUUGACCGUCUUAAAUAAAAAGAACUCAAUUUGGUAAACUGAUUGUAUUCGUGUCUAGGUCGAUACACUAAAAUAUACGAGGACGCAUUAUAGGGUUAAAAGAUUUUAAAUAAGUUAUAACACAUGACCACACGUUAUUAACAGAGAUGUCGCCAAUAGCAUCCUUACAAGCAAGUUUCUCUCGUAUAUUAGAAAUACAUGGCAUUAAAACAACAUAUAAGUUAAACCCUAAUUUAUCUGCAACUAGGAACCAGUUUUUCGUAAGAAAUGGAUAAGAGGAGUAAGGAGUAAGACGACCUAUGGUGUGUCUGUAACUAAUGUCAUUGCCUCCACUAGGUGGUGGUGAGGGUGACAGUUGAGGCCAUUUUUAUGGGAGGCAGAUUGUCUGCCCUCCUAUUUUUGGAUGCUCUUCUCCUCCCCUUCUAUUUUGUUCGGUCACGGUUAAACCACGUCAACAUUU